rnacentral:misc_RNA from 1 species
CUUGGUCAUUUAGAGGAAGUAAAAGCCGUAACAAGGUUUCCGUAGGUGAACCUGCGGAAGGAUCAUUAGUGAAUUAAACAUGCUUGGUGUCUUCGCUUCGGCAAGGCCCUUGCUUAACUCACAUCCCAACACCUGUGAACUGUAAGGCGCAUGACUAGGUUCGCCCAAGUCAUCGUCUGCCCUUUUUAACAAACAAUUAAUGUAACAAACGUAGUCUUAUUAUAACCUAAUAAAACUUUCAACAACGGAUCUCUUGGCUCUCGCAUCGAUGAAGAACGCAGCGAAAUGCGAUAAGUAAUGUGAAUUGCAGAAUUCAGUGAAUCAUCGAAUCUUUGAACGCACCUUGCGCUCUUUGGUAUUCCGAAGAGCAUGCCUGUUUGAGUGUCAUGAAAAUAUCAACCUUGACUUGGGUUUUGUGCUCUAGUCUCGGCUUGGAAUUGGGUGCUUGCCGCUUUUACGAGCGGCUCACCUUAAAUGUAUUAGCUGGAUCUGUCUUUGAGACUUGGUUUGACUUGGCGUAAUAAGUAUUUCGCUAAGGACAUUCUUCGGAGUGGCCUCGUUUCUAGGACGCUUGUCCGCUUUCCAAUACAAGUUCCACCUCGUGGACAUGACUUUUUAUUAUCUGGCCUCAAAUCAGGUAGGACUACCCGCUGAACUUAAGCAUAUCAAUAAGCGGAGGA